GGGUCUUCGACGAUUGCUUCUGGCUGUUACAAACUUCGUGGCAAACAGAAUAUUGGUCUAAUCCAGAAAAAGGGUAAUAUUAUAUGUUGACUGUUGAGAGUGCUCGAGCUAGCUAAUGAUAUAUGAUGGAUAUCUUAACACAGCGGAAAUGUCAGAAUGUAUUUUUGUCUUUUUGUGUGCGCCAACAAGCUUUAAUAUUAUGAAAUACAAGUGGUGAAUUUUGUCGUCUAAUAAAGUAUGGCUACACACUUC